UUUGAUUGUUUUUAAAUUUCAAUAAUGUGAAACAUCUUUUUCAAGACUAUUAAUUUUAAAAACUAUCAUUAAAUUAAAAAAGAUAAGCAGUUUUUAAAUAAACCACUUUUGAGAAAUUGUUUUUUAUGUUAAACUUGCAAUAGUUCCUUUGGUUUCUUUGGCUCUGAUGGUUUGCCCCUUCUGAAAAUUGCCUUUUCAAUUCCAAGAAUAGGUGCUUCAAAUGCUAAAGUUGCAAAACACGAUAAUGUCAAAGAAAUCCCAAAGUCAUGCCACCAACGGAGAAGCUAAAAAAUUAAAGGAAAUUUGAAUGGUUUUUCAUCUUUUUAUCCUUAACCUGCAUACUUACAGCUUCAUAGUCUCCAAACUUAGUAUCAUGCUGUAUUCGAGCACCAUUUACAUUUUGUACAACCCUAUGAAUGAUAUACAUGCAGUACGACAAGCGAGCAAAUCCUUGGAAGAAGCCCCAAGAUAGAAAAUCAUUGAUGAUUCCACCAUGCCCAUUAUAACAAGCCCAUACAAUCCAACCAAUUGCACAAGCCCAUGAAGCUCUACUUAUUGGUUCAUAUAAAGCUCCUUCGACAAUCGGUGCAUUAGGUGUGCCAGGAAGAAUUCUCCAGUAUGGUCCCCAAACACAAGCUAACAUUGUUCCCAAUGCAACAGUCCAUCCUAGAAUAACUAGCCACUUGUUCAUUGCGAAUUGACGUCCACGAUUGUAUUUGAAGAAGAAGUAACCAAACAGAACACCAAUCAGCCAUGUUGGAACUCGGGUGUGUGUUGGAUAAUAGAGCAAUGUAGCCCACCACGUCUCGCUGCAUCUUUUGUCUUGAUAUGCAAUCUUCAUCCACAUUGGCCCAUGUCCAGAAUAUUUAUACAAACUCAAGAUAUACAAUAUCAACACUGCUAAUACCGGAGUUAGACGAAUAUAUCGAUGGAAGUACAUCAAAGAAACUACCAAUAGUUCCUUCGGUUUCUUUGGCUCUGAUGAUUUGCCCCUCCCGAAUAUUGCCUUUUCAAUUCCAAGAAUAGGUGCUUCAAAUGCUAAUGUUGCAAAACAC